GGGGCUGUGCCUUUCCUACCGCCUAAUGGUAGACGGACCCUCUGUGGAUCCCGAUCCCGGCGAAAGUUUACGCGGCUGAGUUUGAAGCCCUGAGCUCCAGCACCCCGGAAGAGAGCGCGGAGGAUACGGAGAGGAGCGAGACGAGGAGGGGGCCUCGGGCUCCUCACAGGGUCUCCCCUACGACACGGGGGGCAAAGACCGCUGCUUGCGGAAACUACGGAGGAAGGCCGACUCCCUCCGGCCGAUGGAGGCCGCCCCGCCAGGUGGAGCGGUCGACGCAGACCCCGACCUUCCCGGAGCCUCUCUGGACCAGUCCAACAGGGCACAGGGUGUCACCCCGAGAUCGCAGGCCGAGCCCCGUCACCAACAGGCGCCGAGGCCGCGGCGUUUCCGCCUCGGGGGAAGAACUCUUCCAGGCAGGAAGCACAAGAGGAAAGUUCCGCCGCCUCAAGUAUCCGGGACCAGCGGUCUCCACGCGGCUCGCGGCCCCGCCACGCCCCCAGCCCCCGCCUCAAGCGGCCUCCCGCGCCGCGGACCUCCGGCCUGACCCCCAGACCCCGGAUCCUCCCUUUUCUCCUCACCUGCCACCUCAGGGUCGUCUGAACCCAGACUGGGGAACUCCUAAACCCAGAGCUCAGCGCGAGGAGAAAAACAAAGACCCUUAACGAUAAGACUGCCGAUAAGACUCACCUGGCUGAAUCCAGGCGUGAAAACGGCUGACACCGACUCGGUUCUCAAAGCUCAGCAUCCAAAAUGGCGGCUCCCUCGGCCUCAGCACAAGCAAGCGCGGGCGGAGGGAUCCGCGGGGGGGGGGGGGUGUCAGCUAGCCACGCCCCCCUACCCAGGGAUUGGCUGCGAGCCGGCCGCUCCCGGAACUCACGUCCUGAGGGACUCGAGGCUCCCUCAUUCGGGUCCCUUCGGAGCGGGCGCGAUGGGGACUACUUCCCGCGGCGGAGGCAUGGGUGGUGACGUGUGCCUACGUCACGCCACCUACGUGAUCGUCACCUGAUGGAGGCGCGCCCUCUCUCGCAGUCUCCCCGUUUACCCAAGGAAGGGCGCCUCCUCGGCUCUUGGCUUCUAGGGGAGGUAACCCUGCCCCCUGCUGUCGAGGCCGCGUCCACCGGGACCGAAGCUGUGGUUUGCGAAAUUGUAAUGCGGUCAUAGGACGAGGAUGGAGCUACGCAUUACUGUAUGUUUAUAUGGACUCAGUAGUGGUGUGUGUUUAUCACCACUUGAAAUAUUUCUUUAAGAAACCGUUCCCAGAACCUCAAAAUACAGUGUGUGUGGUUCCUUUCAAA